AGGACGAACGCUGGCGGCGUGCUUAACACAUGCAAGUCGAGCGGUAAGGCCCUUUCGGGGGUACACGAGCGGCGAACGGGUGAGUAACACGUGGGUGACCUGCCUUUAGCUUCGGGAUAAGCCCGGGAAACUGGGUCUAAUACCGGAUAUGACCUUCUCCUCGCAUGGGGGUUGGUGGAAAGUUUUUCGGCUAGAGAUGGGCCCGCGGCCUAUCAGCUUGUUGGUGGGGUGAUGGCCUACCAAGGCGACGACGGGUAGCCGGCCUGAGAGGGCGACCGGCCACACUGGGACUGAGAUACGGCCCAGACUCCUACGGGAGGCAGCAGUGGGGAAUAUUGCGCAAUGGGCGGAAGCCUGACGCAGCGACGCCGCGUGGGGGAUGACGGCCUUCGGGUUGUAAACCUCUUUCGACCGGACGAAGCGAGAGUGACGGUACCGGUAGAAGAAGCACCGGCCAACUACGUGCCAGCAGCCGC
rnacentral:rRNA from 1 species